rnacentral:rRNA from 1 species
AUUGAACGCUGGCGGCAGGCCUAACACAUGCAAGUCGAGCGGGGUUUUCGGACCCAGCGGCGGACGGGUGAGUAAUGCGUAGGAAGCUACCCGAUAGAGGGGGAUACCAGUUGGAAACGACUGUUAAUACCGCAUAAUGUCUACGGACCAAAGUGUGGGACCUUCGGGCCACAUGCUAUCGGAUGUGCCUACGUGGGAUUAGCUAGUUGGUGAGGUAAUGGCUCACCAAGGCGACGAUCCCUAGCUGGUUUGAGAGGAUGAUCAGCCACACUGGAACUGAGACACGGUCCAGACUCCUACGGGAGGCAGCAGUGGGGAAUAUUGGACAAUGGGCGCAAGCCUGAUCCAGCCAUGCCGCGUGUGUGAAGAAGGCCUUCGGGUUGUAAAGCACUUUCAGUAAGGAGGAAGCGUUGAGUGUUAAUAGUACUCAGCGUUGACGUUACUUACAGAAGAAGCACCGGCUAACUCUGUGCCAGCCGCCGCGGUAA